AUACGUAGGGUGCGAGCGUUAAUCGGAAUUACUGGGCGUAAAGCGUGCGCAGGCGGUUUUGUAAGACAGUGGUGAAAUCCCCGGGCUCAACCUGGGAACUGCCAUUGUGACUGCAAGGCUGGAGUGCGGCAGAGGGGGAUGGAAUUCCGCGUGUAGCAGUGAAAUGCGUAGAUAUGCGGAGGAACACCGAUGGCGAAGGCAAUCCCCUGGGCCUGCACUGACGCUCAUGCACGAGAGCGUGGGGAGCAAACAGGAUUAGAUACCCUGGUAGUCCACGCCCUAAACGAUGUCAACUGGUUGUUGGGAAUUUAUUUUCUCAGUAACGAAGCUAACGCGUGAAGUUGACCGCCUGGGGAGUACGGCCGCAAGGUUAAAACUCAAAUGAAUUGACGGGG
rnacentral:rRNA from 1 species